rnacentral:lncRNA from 1 species
AUGAAUUAGAUUUGAAUCAAGGAAGGUUAAAUCCCUUUAAUCAAUGCUAACUUAUCAACCUUCAACUCAUUGAUCAAAAAGAAAAAGAAAAAGAAAAAGAAGAAGGAGAUGGAUAAGAGAAAAGGAAAUGACAAAAUGGUAAAAGAAAUAUAAAUGCAUAAAAUGGAACAUCAUGUACCAAUCCUCAUAUGUUGACCAAU